rnacentral:rRNA from 1 species
ACGAGAAAGGGGACUACGGUCUCUGAGUACAGUGGCGCACGGGUGCAUAACACGUAAGUAAUCUACCCCGAACUCUGGGAUAACCCUCCGAAAGGAGGGCUAAGACUGGAUAGGGUCCCCGAGGUACAGGCCGCGGGGGGAAAACGGGCCUCUGGUCCAUGCGCGUGGUUCGGGAUGAGCUUGCGGCCCAUUAGCUAGUUGGUAGGGUAACGGCCUACCAAGGCUACGAUGGGUAGCUGGUCUGAGAGGAUGAUCAGCCACACUGGCACUGAGACACGGGCCAGACUCCUACGGGAGGCAGCAGUGGGGAAUUUUGCGCAAUGGGCGAAAGCCUGACGCAGUAACGCCGCGUGGAGGAUGAAGGCCUUCGGGUUGUAAACUCCUGUCAGGGGGAACGACGGGGCCCGGCAGACAAUGCCUGGCUGCCAGACGGUACCUCCAAAGGAAGCCCCGGCUAAUUCCGUGCCAGCAGCCGCGGUAAUACGGAAGGGGCAAGCGUUG